CGGCUCUUCCUAUCAUUGCGAAGCAGAAUUCGCCAAGCGUUGGAUUGUUCACCCACCAAUAGGGUAAGUUGG
rnacentral:ncRNA from 1 species